rnacentral:lncRNA from 1 species
UUCUUGGUUUAGUUUGGGCAUUUAGCUAUCCUACAGAAUGUUCUGUGGCGAUGAAAGGAACGUGUUUGUUAAAUUCUCUUCGACCAGUUUCUGUCAAUGCUCUCGCAGGUAUCCCACCAAACUUACAUACUGUAUUAUUCUUGGGGGUUGGAGCCUCUGAGGAGGACACAUGCCUCGUUCAGAUGUCAUCGUGAGGCAGAAGAAGCAGAAAGGAAGACUGAGCCAGAACGCGGAGUCUUCAAUAAAUGAUGGAGCAAGACAGGAAGUUUGGAAGAUGACAGCAGUGUGGAAAGAAAGUGUGCAGUAGGUAGGGAUUUGUUUCAUCAUGUUCAGGUGCACGAAACAUGGCUUUUUG